rnacentral:rRNA from 1 species
AGAACGAACGCUGGCGGCAGGCUUAACACAUGCAAGUCGAGCGGGUAGCGAAUAACCGAGCGGCAGACGGGUGAGUAACACGUGGGAACCUUCCUAGAGGUACGGAACAACGCAGGGAAACUUGCGCUAAUACCGUAUGUGCUCUUGCGAGGAAAGAUUUAUCGCCUUUAGACGGGCCCGCGUCGGAUUAGCUAGUUGGUGGGGUAAUGGCCUACCAAGGCAACGAUCCGUAGCUGAUCUGAGAGGAUGAUCAGCCACACUGGAACUGAGACACGGUCCAGACUCCUACGGGAGGCAGCAGUGGGGAAUCUUGGACAAUGGGCGCAAGCCUGAUCCAGCCAUGCCGCGUGAGUGAAGAAGGCCUUCGGGUUGUAAAGCUCUUUUGUCAGGGACGAUAAUGACGGUACCUGAAGAAUAAGCCCCGGCAAACUUCGUGCCAGCAGCCGC